rnacentral:tRNA from 1 species
GCGGGCGUAGCUCAGUGGUAGAGCAUCUGCCUUCCAAGCAGAGGGUCGUGGGUUCGAUCCCCAUCGCCCGCUCCA